rnacentral:rRNA from 1 species
ACAUACGACCAUACCUACUGGAGAACUCGGGAUCCCGUCCGCUCUCCCAUAGAUAAGCCAGUAAGGGGAAUAUUAUAUAAGAGAUCCAUCUUGUCCGCC